CUAAAUUAAAAUUAUAAAAAUCUGAAGGUAAUAUUCACAAGUGUCAUAUAUCAGAGUUAGAUAGUAAUCUACCUUUUUCAUCUUCACUUUCGAAUGGCUACUUCUACCUCUUUUUUUAUUUUGCCAGGUGGUUAGAUGAACGUCAUGCACAAUCUCACUUUAUUCCAGCUUUAUUCCGACCUUCUCCUCUUGAGCGGAUAAAAACUAAUGUCAUAAAUCCUGCAUAUGCUACUGAAUCAGGUCAGACAGAAAACUCACUACAUAUGGGCUAUAGUGCACUAGAAAUAAAGAGUAAAAUGUUAGCCCUAGAGAAAGCAGAUACCUGUAUUUACAACCCUUUGUUUGGAUCAGAUCUUCAAUAUACAAAUCGGGUAGAUAAAGUGGUAAUAAAUCCAUACUUUGGUCUAGGAGCUCCAGACUACUCAAAAAUCCAAAUACCUAAACAGGAAAAAUGGCAGAGAAGCAUGAGCAGUGUCACAGAAGACAAGGAACGACAGUGGGUAGAUGAUUUUCCUCUCCACCGAAGCGCCUGUGAAGGAGAUUCAGAAUUACUAAGCCGUCUUCUCAGUGAAAGAUUUUCAGUCAACCAAUUAGAUAGUGACCACUGGGCACCCAUUCAUUAUGCAUGCUGGUAUGGAAAAGUUGAGGCCACUCGCAUAUUGUUAGAGAAAGGAAAGUGCAAUCCAAACCUUUUAAAUGGACAACUUAGUUCUCCUCUUCAUUUUGCUGCUGGAGGAGGACAUGCUGAAAUAGUACAGAUUCUCCUAAACCAUCCAGAAAUUGAUAGACAUAUAACAGACCAACAAGGAAGAUCUCCAUUAAAUAUUUGUGAAGAAAACAAACAAAACAACUGGGAAGAAGCUGCAAAAUUGUUGAAGGAAGCCAUUAACAAACCAUAUGAAAAAUUUCGAAUAUACAGAAUGGAUGGGUCAUAUCGUUCUGUUGAAUUGAAGCAUGGAAAUAAUACCACAGUGCAGCAGAUAAUGGAAGGAAUGCGUCUCUCUCAAGAAACUCAGCAAUAUUUCACUAUAUGGAUUUGUUCAGAAAACCUCAGCCUUCAACUCAAACCGUAUCAUAAACCCUUGCAACAUGUUCGUGACUGGCCAGAAAUACUUGCUGAAUUGACUAAUCUGGAUCCUCAAAGGGAAACACCUCAGCUUUUUCUAAGAAGAGAUGUGAGACUUCCUUUGGAAGUUGAAAAACAGAUUGAAGACCCACUAGCUAUUCUUAUUCUCUUUGAUGAAGCCAGAUAUAAUUUAUUGAAGGGCUUUUAUACAGCUCCUGAUGCUAAGCUGAUAACAUUGGCAAGUCUGCUUUUGCAAAUAGUCUAUGGAAAUUAUGAGAGUAAAAAACACAAGCAAGGUUUCCUAAAUGAAGAAAAUCUAAAAUCCAUCGUACCUGUUACCAAACUGAAAAGUAAGGCACCUCACUGGACAAAUCGCAUACUUCAUGAAUACAAGAAUCUCAGUACAAGUGAAGGUGUCAGUAAAGAAAUGCAUCACCUUCAGCGCAUGUUCUUACAGAAUUGCUGGGAAAUUCCUACUUAUGGAGCAGCAUUUUUCACAGGACAGAUAUUUACAAAGGCAAGCCCCAGCAAUCAUAAAGUCAUCCCUGUGUAUGUAGGAGUGAAUAUAAAAGGACUUCAUCUCCUCAACAUGGAAACUAAGGCUUUACUCAUCAGUCUUAAAUAUGGUUGUUUUAUGUGGCAAUUGGGAGAUACUGAUACUUGUUUUCAGAUCCAUAGCAUGGAAAAUAAAAUGAGCUUUAUAGUACAUACAAAACAGGCUGGUCUCGUGGUAAAACUGUUAAUGAAGCUAAAUGGACAGUUAAUGCCCACUGAAAGAAAUUCAUGAAAGAGAAGUAACUGUUACUCAAGCCACCACAUUUUGUAAUGCAGAGUUUUUUUUCCGUGAAAGAUUUCUUAAAGUAUUACUUUUGGCCGAGCGUGGUGGCUCACCCCUGUAAUUCCAACACUUUGGGAGGCUGGGGCAGGCGGAUCACCUGAAGUCAGAGUUCAAGACCAGCCUGGCCAACAUGGUGAAACCCUUUCUCUACAAAAAUACAAAAAUUAGCUGGACGUGGUGGCGGGCGCCUAUAAUCCUAGCUACUAGGGAGGCCGAGGUGGGAGAUCGCUUAAACCCAGGAGGUGGAGGUUGUAGUGAGCCAAGAUUGCACUGCGGCACUCUAGCCUGGGUGACAGAGCAAGACUCCAUCUCAAAAAAAAAAAAAAUACUUUCAACAAGGCAUUUAGUCUCUUGUAAUAUAUAUGUAUACUAUUACAUUGUACAGAAUCUGUACUUAUGUUUGGUGUGUAAUAUACCAAUUAGUUUUAUAUAUUAUCCUCAUAAGCUAUUCUAAUUUUUGAGAGAAACACAAAAAGUUAUAGAUUGAUAGUCUGUAUAAUAUUAG
rnacentral:sRNA from 1 species